rnacentral:rRNA from 1 species
UACGAGUGCCCCGAGCGUUAUCCGGAUUUAUUGGGUUUAAAGGGUGCGUAGGCGGCCUAUUAAGUCAGGGGUGAAAGACGGUAGCUUAACUAUCGCAGUGCCCUUGAUACUGAUGGGCUUGAAUAUACUAGAGGUAGGCGGAAUGUGACAAGUAGCGGUGAAAUGCAUAGAUAUGUCACAGAACACCAAUUGCGAAGGCAGCUUACUAUGGUAUUAUUGACGCUGAGGCACGAAAGCGUGGGGAUCAAACAGG